rnacentral:lncRNA from 1 species
AUGGAACGCCAAACGUACACGCCUACGCGAAUUCUAUUGGUCUGCUCUAGCUGUAAAUCAAAUAUGCUGCGCCCGCGUAUCCCCCGGCGACCGAUUUGUGGAUUUAAACCAGAUUAUUUCACAAAAAAACACUUGCCUAAGCAAUGCCACUACCAUAGACAUGAGACAAACGGUCACAAAAUGGCCGGCGAUCAUAAAAUGGUGCCGAUAAUCUGGACUGGCAACCUGGGCAUUUCAUGGAAGUCACGUGAUUUCACAAAACCUAGUUGUGCACCUUCACUGGCACGAAUAACUCUACCAGCACUUAACUCAUUCAUGGCCAGUCACUUUGUUUUUUGUUAGACACACACACACACACAAACAACCUUUCAAUACUAUUAUAGUAUCCAUGUAAGUCAGAAAUCAGUCUUUAUCUUUCUGCCUUCCUGGUGUGUAUGGCAAUAGAUGUUUUAUAUGUGAAACGAUGGUAACCUUAAUUUGGCCUGUUUGUUUAUGCAAUAAGGUAAUAUGGAUUCCUUUCAAACUAUAAAGUUUGUUACUGAAAUCUACUCAAACAAUGAACUGGACCUGUUAACUCACUGCAAUUUUAAUCUAAACCACUAUUCAUCACCAACAUGCUUUCAUGUUAUGAAAACACAGAUACAUAGAUCUAUAUAAAGGUAUACAUGAUGGAAUGAAAAAGUGUUAAAUAAAGAGGAUACCCAAUCUUGUCAUGUCUGUCCCGCAGGCAACAGGGGGUGAUAAAGCAACAUUGCAACCGUGGAUGUGCCAGACAGCAAAUCAGACCUACAAUACCAAAUCAAGAACAAUAGGUACUUUCCAACAAGAUGAUAUCAAAAACCAAAGGCGAUCUAUACAGCAGCGCUCUUAAUAUCAGGGGAAAUUAUUUGAUGUAUCAUGACGACAAAGAAAAAAGUGAAAGAGAAUAAUAAAGGGUGCUGUUGUUUUAAAAUAACUUUAGCAUGUUAAAAGAAAUAAGCAUUGAAAAACUGCAAAACUGCUUCGUAAUAAUCUUGACUGGCAAACUGGCCAUUUUAUAAAAGUGACAUGAUUUCACAAAACCACCAGUUGUGCACCUUACCUAGCAUGUUAAAGUGUGCAAACACUUAAUUCAUUCUUGGCCAUUCACUUUGUUUGGUAUUUUUGGGAAAACCCAACCCUUCUUUCAAUCAUUUUAUGAUUGAGGAUUUUAGUAGCCUUGCAUUAAGUGAGAAAACAUCUGUCUUUAGUUUUUUUGCCUUUCAGGUGUUUAAAGCAAUGUAAUUUUGAUUUGUGAAAAUCUGGUAUCUCAAAUUUUGCAUGUUUUUUCUUCUUCUAUUAAAUGCAGUAACACUGUUUCCAUCUCUGUUUUAACUUUUCACAAUGAAGCUUGUUAGGUAACAAAACUGACUUUAAAGAAUAGCCUAAAUCGGACAUGCUAUCACAAUGCAAAGUUAAUCUAAACCACUAUUCAUCAUCACAGGAACAAUGCUGCUUUAAAGUUUUUGGACCCUUUAACAUUUUCUAUUUUUCAGCAUAAAUAUCACUCAAAACUUCAUCAAAAAAAAAAAAAGUCCUUGAAGUAGACAAAUAGAACCCAAACAAACAAAUGAGACAAAAAUAUUUUAUUUAUCAUUGACAGAGGGUCUCCAAAUAACGGCUAUCACAUUGGAUGUUCAAUGCUAUUGCCAUGGCAUAUUCCAGCCGGAGAAUGGAGUGUCCUGUUGGUGUCAGUGCCCAUUCGAUGAGGGUGGUUGCCUCCUCAUUGGCAUGAACUAAGGGCGUUUCUAAGGGACGAAGUUGGUUAGAUGGUCUUUGCAGAAUACCUUUGCCAGAUUCUACAAUUUGGAUGUGUGGUCAUUAGCCUCACAGGUCCUGUCGGUGAGUCGGACCCAUGGUUUACCUGAACCACUAGCCAUUUGACAUUGCCAGUGGUUUCGACCCGGUCGUGUAGCCUAGUGGAAUGCAGCAAUUCUCAGUCUGUGUUAGUAUUGUGCCUGGCCACUCACAUGCUUUGUUGGACUUAUAUUAUAAUACUUGUAUGUGUUUGAUAUGACAAUGACUAUGUCAACGGUGCUGCAUCUUUCUCUCAACAAGAGACCUGCCAUCAGGCAUUUGAUUCUGAGAAACCUGAUUACAUCCAAUCCCCUUGAGGCAUGUUGCACGGUCAUGUUUGAUUGGUUAAGGAUUAUUUUUAGUGUCUUGCAAGAACUGUUCAUGUUAGCUCCGCCGAGGCUGAGCAUUUUUACUUCGCUGCUUCCACAGUAUUAUUCUAUAUAAUUUCCAAGGUGUUAAUGCCAUAUCGAGAGACCGUUCUCAAUCAGAACAUCUCUUGUUACUGUCGUAACCUGGGUUCCCUGAGAGACGGGAACGAGACAUGGUGUAGGCCGCUGUGUUCACUGAUCAGGUCUGCUGUGCUGUUUGUUCAGUUGGAAGAUUCUGAGCUUAUGCCGCCAAAACACUCCACUAUAUAGUGGUGGGGGCCCACCCCAUUCGCCGUUUCGGCUGGCACUCGGUUGCAACUUCACUGGCAUUGUGCAAGAUUUCAGGUAGGUUAGGAAGAAAGAAAGUCCCCAAGGCGUUAACGCCAUGUCUUGUUCCUGUCUCUCAGGGAACCGAGGUUACGACACUAACCAAAGCCAUUCUCUUUGUCUACUGGACUUGAAAUUUUUAUUAUGUUGUGUGUCAUAUUAUGUAGACAUAUAAAAAGUCUAAAGGUUUCACAAACUUUCAAGAUGUGUGUGUGCUGUGUAAAUUAUUAUGUAUAUAUAAACAC